AAACAGGCCAAGAGCUCAGACAGUGUGUUUCAGGUGGAGGUACAACAGCAAUUGGCAGUAUGAAAACAUGAGAUGUUUUUUGAACAUCAAAGCAUGUAAACCUAUUCUUGUAGACCCCAAGAGUACAAAUAUGACACUGAAAAAGAAGUAUAAAAUGGGCCCUUUAA